rnacentral:misc_RNA from 1 species
AACCUUUGACAUGUCCCGUAUGAGCACCAGAGAUGGAGCUCUUCAGUUCGGCUGGCGGGAACACAGGUGCUGCAUGGCUGUCGUCAGCUCGUGUCGUGAGAUGUUGGGUUAAGUCCCGCAACGAGCGCAACCCUCGCCCUUAGUUGCCAUCAUUUAGUUGGGCACUCUAGGGGGACUGCCGGUGAUAAGCCGCGAGGAAGGUGGGGAUGACGUAGCUAAGCCUUC